UUGGAAACGCAGCGCAGCUCUGGAAUGGCGCAUUCCUGUGGUGCCACAGGCAAUUGCUGCAACCACCUCGUGUAGCAACAUAUGAUCUGAAAUUUGCUUGACAUGAGAGGUAUUGGAUAAGGACUUGAAAACUGCCUUUGCAGUCUUUCUCUUCUGUGCUGCACUGAGACAUUUCUGCAGCCUGCAAUUUCUCUUGGUUUAAGCAGUAUUUAUCAAAUGGAAACAUAUGUAUACAGUAGAAAACAACUAUAUCCCAGCUUCUGUGGUGGAGUUUCUGGUUGACACAUUUGACCACACUAUGAAUGAUGGGCUAUAGGACCUCAUGCAUUCUUUUGGAAGGCCUUGCCUCCAGCAGGACUGUGAUUCUGUGAUUCCCCCUAGAUUUCAUAAGUCUAUCAAUACUUAUGUUGCAAAAAAAUUGAAAAAAGAAGCUUCUGUCAACUAGA